rnacentral:tRNA from 1 species
GUCCCCGUAGUUUAAUGGAUAAAACGUGGCCCUCCGAAGGCCAAGGUGCAGGUUCGAUUCCCGCCGGGGACA